GACGAACGCUGGCGGCGUGCCUAAUACAUGCAAGUCGAACGCUUCUUUCCUCCCGAGUGCUUGCACUCCAUUGGAAAGAGGAGUGGCGGACGGGUGAGUAACACGUGGGUAACCUACCCAUCAGAGGGGGAUAACACUUGGAAACAGGUGCUAAUACCGCAUAACAGUUUAUGCCGCAUGGCAUAAGAGUGAAAGGCGCUUUCGGGUGUCGUUGAUGGAUGGACCCGCGGUGCAUUAGCUAGUUGGUGAGGUAACGGCUCACCAAGGCCACGAUGCAUAGCCGACCUGAGAGGGUGAUCGGCCACACUGGGACUGAGACACGGCCCAGACUCCUACGGGAGGCAGCAGUAGGGAAUCUUCGGCAAUGGACGAAAGUCUGACCGAGCAACGCCGCGUGAGUGAAGAAGGUGUUCGGAUCGUAAAACUCUGUUGUUAGAGAAGAACAAGGACGUUAGUAACUGAACGUCCCCUGACGGUAUCUAACCAGAAAGCCACGGCUAACUACGUG
rnacentral:rRNA from 1 species